AAUGCUUUGUUUGCUGAAGUCUGCAACUUUGCAGAGGAAAGAUAGAGUUGUUAAGGCUCAGCACUAGACUCAGAAGAUGUGGGUCCUCUGCCCUGACUCUGUCACAGAUUUCAUGUGUGUCCUUGGCCAGAAGCAUCAACUUUCUAGAAACUACAACAUUCACUUUAGUACUACAGAGCCAACACAAGUAAAAGAGUGAGCUUCAUUCCAUUCCUCCUUCUGCAUCAUCACCGGACUUGUUUACCAAAUUCUAAUCCAUUCCAUUUGUGCAAACGCGAUACAGGAAGUUGGGUUGCACAGCUGUUGCUGUGGGCCAUGUUUGGCCUGAAGAACUCUUAUUCCUCAUGAUAGUGUCCAUGAAAG